AAAAAGGUAAGCUAAUUUAAGCUAAUGGGUUCAUAUCCCAUCUAUAGAGGCAUCAAUCCUCUCCUUUUUA
rnacentral:tRNA from 2 species